rnacentral:rRNA from 1 species
GACGAACGCUGGCGGCGUGCUUAACACAUGCAAGUCGAACGAAAAGGCCCUGCUUUUGUGGGGUGCUCGAGUGGCGAACGGGUGAGUAACACGUGAGUAACCUGCCCUUGACUUUGGGAUAACUUCAGGAAACUGGGGCUAAUACCGGAUAGGAGCUCCUGCUGCAUGGUGGGGGUUGGAAAGUUUCGGCGGUUGGGGCUGGACUCGCGGCUUAUCAGCUUGUUGGUGGGGUAGUGGCUUACCAAGGCUUUGACGGGUAGCCGGCCUGAGAGGGUGACCGGCCACAUUGGGACUGAGGUACGGCCCAGACUCCAACGGGAGGCAGCAGUGGGGAAUAUUGCACAAUGGGCGGAAGCCUGAUGCAGCAACGCCGCGUGCGGGAUGACGGCCUUCGGGUUGUAAACCGCUUUCGCCGGUGACGAAGCGUGAGUGACGGUAAUGGGUAAAGAAGCACCGGCUAACUACGUG